GAUGAAGAACGUAGCGAAAUGCGAUACUUGGUGUGAAUUGCAGAAUCCCGUGAACCAUCGAGUCUUUGAACGCAAGUUGCGCCCGAAGCCAUUAGGCCGAGGGCACGCCUGCCUGGGCGUCACACGUCGUUGCCCCCCCACCUACUCCUUCGGGAUUGCGGGGGGCGGAUGAUGGCCUCCCGUGCGCCUCGUCGCGCGGUUGGCAUAAAUGCCAAGUCCUCGGCGACGCACGCCACGACAAUCGGUGGUUGCGAAACCUCGGUUGCCCGUCGUGUGCGGUCGUCGCGCAUCGAGGGCUCGAAAAAAUUGCCGGGCUCCGGCUCGGCUCUCAACGCGACCCCAGGUCAGGCGGGGUUACCCGCUGAAUUUAAGCAUAUCAAUAAGCGGAGGA
rnacentral:misc_RNA from 1 species